rnacentral:rRNA from 1 species
UACGACUACAUAUCAGGCAUAUCAAUAAGCGGAGGAAAAGAAACUAACAAGGAUUCCCCUUAGUAACGGCGAGUGAAGCGGGAAGAGCUCAAAUUUGAAAUCUUCAAGGUUUUACCUUGACGAAUUGUAGUUUAAAGAAGUGUUUUCUGUUGAGUUUCGGUAAAAGUUCUUUGGAAUAGGACAUCAUAGAGGGUGAGAAUCCCGUAUUUGACCAUUAUUUCCAGCUGUGUGAUACACUUUCAAAGAGUCGGAUUGUUUGGGAAUGCAGUCCAAAAUGGGUGGUAAAUUUCAUCUAAAGCUAAAUAUUGGCGAGAGACCGAUAGCGAACAAGUACCGUGAGGGAAAGAUGAAAAGAACUUUGAAAAGAGAGUUAAACAGUACGUGAAAUUGUCAAAAGGGAAGCGUUUGACACCAGUGUUGUUUUCUCGAAAAUCAAUUAAAAAGAAGUUGGAUUUUGUAUUGUUAAGACCUUAUCAGCUUACUGUACUUUUUUCUUGCUCUUUUUAAUGCACUUUUCGUUUAUCAAGUCAACAUCAAUUUCUUUUGUUGUAAAAGGGUCAUUGGAAGGUGGCUUUCACUUCGGUGAAAGUGUUUAUAGCCUUUGACUUCUGCAAUCGGAGAGAUUGAGGUCUGCAGCGUAGAUCCUUCGGGGUUAGAUACAUUUGUGCUAAGUUAUAGUUUUUCAUAGACAACAUGUUGACUAUGAUUAAUCAUGUAGCUUACUCGCUUAUGCUAUUUUACCUACGCUUAGGAUGUUGAUCUCUCCAGUCGAGC